rnacentral:hammerhead_ribozyme from 1 species
AACUAGUCGAGAGCUGAUGCCACUCUUCUGACGAGGCCAUGACAGGCCGAAACUAAUU